rnacentral:rRNA from 1 species
AGUGAACGCUGGCGGUAUGCCUAACACAUGCAAGUCGAACGGCAGCACAGUAAGAGCUUGCUCUUACGGGUGGCGAGUGGCGGACGGGUGAGGAAUACAUCGGAAUCUACUUUUUCGUGGGGGAUAACGUAGGGAAACUUACGCUAAUACCGCAUACGACCUACGGGUGAAAGCAGGGGAUCUUCUGACCUUGCGCGAUUGAAUGAGCCGAUGUCGGAUUAGCUAGUUGGCGGGGUAAAGGCCCACCAAGGCGACGAUCCGUAGCUGGUCUGAGAGGAUGAUCAGACACACUGGAACUGAGACACGGUCCAGACUCCUACGGGAGGCAGCAGUGGGGAAUAUUGGACAAUGGGCGAAAGCCUGAUACAGCCAUACCGCGUGGGUGAAGAAGGCCUUCGGGUUGUAAAGCCCUUUUGUUGGGAAAGAAAAGCAGCAGGUUAAUACCCCGCUGUUCUGACGGUACCCAAAGAAUAAGCACCGGCUAACUUCGUG